AAUCCUUCAGUUUCUG
rnacentral:tRNA from 1 species